rnacentral:tRNA from 3 species
GGGGGCGUAGCUCAGUUGGGAGAGCGUCUGGUUUGCAACCAGAAGGUCACCGGUUCGAAUCCGGUCGCCUCCACAA